GAGGAGUACGGUUUAUUGCAGCCGUGCCGUAAACUAUUACCUCUGAGUCCUCCUUUCAAGCUACAAGAAUAUUUCAUGUUGGAGAGAGAGACAGAGGAAAAUGUGCGGAUAAUUUGUGGUGAAAGUCUUCUGAGGAAGACUCGUUUGAUUCAGCCUUGACGCUGCAAAGGGAACAAACGUCAAAGUCAACGUACAUGUUAUAGAAGCUAAUCUAGAGCAGUCGAGUUUUUCAAGAAAGAGUUUGAGGUUAAUAAGGAUGUUGUUACCAUACAGGAACAGUCAGCACUGCAUCCUGCGUUGACAGAGUCGGAUCUACUCGAGAGUCUAUCAUCGUCGUCAGUUUGACUUUGCUGUUUCUGAGUUAUUAGGGACGUCUGGUGAUGAUGAGUGUUGACCAGAGUUAACAUCGACGAUACAAUGAUUAUUCCUAAAGCCUGAGGGUGGCAUCAUGAUACCACGUGAGUGGACAACGUACGUUGCACCGAUUCAUUCCCUGCAAACGCAAGAAUUUCUAACAGAGCAAACGAUGUGUUUGGAAGCGUGCUAUGCGAUGGGACUACCCGGCGACUGUGUGAUUCUCGCCAAGGAGGAAACGAUGUGGAGCAGACGGGGCAGUGAAUAGCGUUAAUCUGAGAUCACGGCAACUGUCGAUUUAGUAUCAGCCAUGCAUCACUCAUCAAUUCAAAGUAUUGUGUAGAAGGAAACAAAGAGAGCAGACUUUUGAUUUUGAUUUUGAGCAGUCUCAUCAUAUGACACAGACUGUAACAGCACGAGACAAUAUUGCUGGACUUUACUUUGGCUAGGAAAUGUGCCAGUAGCAAGGGUAAUCACGCUGCCAGUCAGUUUCCUACUAGGAGAAGCACAUUAAGGUUGUGGUAUGAGUGGCAUGUGCAACGGGGCGAGGAAAUGCAGCUUCAUAACUCUGACGGUCAAACCGAUACGAUCUCUCUGAGCUGGCCAAUCAGCACUUAUUGCAGCAUUGUCGUGCGUAAUGGUGACCAGAAAGAAACCCAAGGUGUGUAACAAAUGAAUUAUUUAUUAGUUGGGAGGAAUUCUCGGGAUUCUCGGUAUAAUGGUGUGGUCAAUGAACGCGUUUGGCCGCAAGACAGAUGCAAAGCAUUUGGGGCUUGUUGAUCACGUGACAUCCAGUUUCAUGCCGCUAUAUACUCCAUUAAACUUAUAUGCUAGUGUUUAUUAGCUCUCUAUGUUAAUGACAUGUUGAGAGCAAGAUGGCUUGUCACGUGGCUGGCUUCCUUCCAUUAAGGUUGCUAAUAUUUCCCGUGUCUUCUCCCUGCCUCUUGGUAACCUGAUUAGGGAAUUUACGGAUUGGUGUGUAUGGAGUGGUAAUGGUGAUGCUUCUGUUUGUACGUGGCAUAUCCUGCUAGUAGUCCAUGCCGAUUGUGAGGAGUGGUGAGGUCUGUGAGGGUCAGUGAUUUCUCGUUGUUGAUGCAAGUUAUUUAUAUUGUAAGCAUUAAUGUUUUAUCAUUAUGUAUUCUUCUUGCAUUGUAAGGGCAUUCCGUGGUUUAGUGAUUGUUGUAGUGAGCACAGACAUGCUUGUAAAUCGAUAUCCUACUAGUAGUUUGAUCUUGAUGUGCGUUUGUCUCUUCACUGCCCAUUUCCGACUGUUUUGUCGAGUUGUCGUGUUUUAUGAUGAGAAAUAGUUUUCAAGGUCAAGUUGCCUUGAGGUAUAAUCUUGUAGGUAAACUGAUUGCACUCUAAAUGAGCUUCUAGAGCUGCCAAUUUUGUAUGCAUUAAGAUAUGUAUGGUUCAACUUUGAGGCAUAUGUUUGAGGCGGACAGUCUGUGUUAUAAUUAGUUAUGUUGCGUAGAUUAGAACUGUCAGCUGCUGGUUGAUGAACAGUGUUUUCUUUGUAAACUAUGUAUGUGUGUAUGUAUGUCUAUUGUUGUCGCACCAAUACAGGUACAGUGCCCAUAGGCAGUAAAGAUAUACUGGUCAGAGUGCGCAUGACAAGACUAUAUAUAUGGCGGUAUCUAGAGAUAAACCAAAUAUACUUGGAUGGUAUUCAAACUAAGAUUUUUGCGGACUUUACUGACUGCUCGGAGGGAGUUUUGCUGCAGACAAGUUGAUUUAUAGUGAAGCUAUAGAUGUUGGGAGUGUGCACGAGCUUGUUCGCUAAUAGAGUAACACACCUAAUGCUCUAGAUUACACGAGUUACAGUUUUCCGGCCGAGUGAGUCACGUCGAGACACUGAUUGCCGCCAAAGAAAUAUAUGGCACCGUGGACGUCGUCGAAAGCAAACACGGAAAGAAUCCUCGUCCCUUUGCUGGUUCUUCCCAACGCAAUGUUGUGUCGCUUGUCUAGUGUAUGGAUUCUCACUGUGCACGAUUUCUAACGUGUCUGUGUGCUGCUCGACGUUUGGCCGUAGAUAGGAAACUGCGCAAGACAGCUGUGGACUCGAUCUCAGGUGCAGUUAUGGAACUCUUCAUGACGCUGGUAU